rnacentral:rRNA from 1 species
UACGGGGGGGAGCAAGCGUUGUUCGGAUUUACUGGGCGUAAAGGGCGCGUAGGCGGUCGUGACAAGUCACUUGUGAAAUCUCCGGGCUUAACUCGGAACGGUCAAGUGAUACUGUCGGACUAGAGUACAGAAGGGGCAACUGGAAUUCUCGGUGUAGCGGUGAAAUGCGUAGAUAUCGAGAGGAACGACCUGCGGCGAAGGCGGGUUGCUGGGCUGAUACUGACGCUGAGGCGCGAAAGCUAGGGGAGCGAACGGG